GGCCUGAUAGCACAAUGGCUAGUACUCCUGCUUUAUUUGAGGGAGUGUAAUUAAUUAAUGCAGGUGAUUCCGGUUUGAUUCCGGGUCAGGCCG